rnacentral:lncRNA from 1 species
CCAUCAAAUGCCAUUGCACUGCACUGCGAUAACAACGACGCCAUAGCCCUUGCUAAGGAGCUUAGGUCUUAUUAGAAGUUUAAGCAUAUAGAGCAACAUUUUCACAUCAUACGUGAAUACCAUGAGAAGAAGUUCAUUGAGAUGCAGAGAGUCGACUCCACACUAAACAUGAUGGACUUGCUAACUAAGCCUCUCAGCCAGCAGA